UCAUGUCUCCAAUCUAGAUUUAUUCAAAUGCUAUUUAUAAUAAUUGCAUUAUUAAUUAUUGCAAAUAACAGUAAGCUAAGUUUUUAAGCUUUUCUGGAACUUGAUGCAUUUAUAAACAAUAGAUCACCAAAGACGCUAACAGGCAGACAUGUUGAAUAUUUUGAUAAAGAAAAACGACCUGUCGUUUGAAAUAGUGGUGCAGCAGUUGGUGGUAAUUCUCUCGUCAUACCACUCGAUGCCAAUAUUGGAGACAGUCGAUCUCGAAACUUUUGUUUUGCCGUAAGUAAUUCUUCUGAAAGAAUCUCAUCCGCAAGCUGAGUCCAAUUCGUGUUUUCAAUUUCUAUUGCUCUGUCAUUUAUAACGGCUCCUUCAACCCAAAA